GUCUAACAGUAAAAUCUAUUGAAUUCCUUCUUUUUCAUGACAGAUUAUCGACCAAAUAAACUUCAGCAGCUUCAAGGGAACCAUUAUGGACACAUCAUGUUUAUUUCAAUAAUGACCUGCGUUCCUUUCACAAUUAUUCUCAGAGAACCUGACAGAGUUACCAUGAAAGAUGAAGAUAAUCAUUCCAGUCCAAUAUUUUUAGGCAGCCUUUUAGUGCUCAUGUCAUUCAAGCCCUGAAAGUCAAUCAUGGAAAUUGGAUGGAGACAGCUCUUGAAAAGAGACAAGGUAAAAAAAGAAAAAGGAAGAACAGGAGACAGAAUGUAAGCCAGUGAAGAGGAUGCAUUGCUGUAACUCAGGAAGUCCUGGUUCUGCUCUGUGUUACCACUGAUGUCACUGAUGACUUUGAGGAACCAGAAAGAAUGAUCAUUUGAAACUAUUUUUAAGGAGGUCCUUACCUUUGAAAUGCUCUGAAGUUCUUUC
ensembl:lncRNA